UACACCGCCAGCAAUGAAUAGAUUUCGGUUGUUUGCUAGGGAAGGGGGAUAGCAACUCACGCACACACCGCCAACAAGUGGCCGGUUCCAUAGGUGUGAGUGGGUACGCGCGAUUGUGUUCGUGCCAGCGGAUGAGCCCGUGAGAGGGAUAGGGAGAGUGGAAGAGGCAGAAGAAGAGCGAACAAGCGUCAUUUACAAUUGUUGCUUUUGCGGGAACAAAGAGCUGAUUCUGCUUCUGCCGCUGAAGCUGUCUCUGUCUCUGUCGCUGCCUCUACCUCUGCUGCUGCUGCCCAUCCACGUUGCAGCUUAUUUGCGGCUACAAAUUAUGCAUAUUUCCAAAGAAUGUGCUUAGGGAAUCUGCAGCUGGAUUAAUUAGCUUCAAUUGAAAACUGGGCUCUGGUUCCGCUCCCGAUUAAAACAGUAAGUGGCUGGUGGCUGCCGCUGCAAUCGGUUUAUAAAUAACAGAUCUCAGGGGAGGGGACAGGCGCGGCAUUGACGGCACGAAUAAUGCUCAGAACAAUAAGGUGAGGCAUUCCGAUCGACAGCCGAAUAUUGCUUCAUUGAUCGAGAAUACCCCACCCCAUAUCAAUACACCUUGCUACGCAUCAGACAGCCGCAACUGGCGCAAAAAAAAAGUGGAUCGCACAUCUAAAAAAGGGGGAUAAAACAGCCUCGCCUCUCUCCCCGCACAGCACACGGAUGCACCUUGAAACAGCAGCACGGCCAAGAUUGUUUCAACAAAAGUUUCAGCGCACCGAAAACACUCACAAACACACGCACGCACUCACAACUAUCUACAUUGGAAAGGAGGCAAGGAAUGCAGAAUAUGAGGAGUGGGGAACGUACACCGCGUUUCAAAACAUAGCGCAUGCGUCGGAUAGCAGGUCCUGUACCAUGUGCAUUUAACUAAAACACCGAUUUUUAUUUAUUUUUAUUAUUUUUAAGCGAAAAUUUCGUGCGACAACCGAUAUAUCACAUA